UGCCCAUUGAGACCAGAGGACGUGCAUUACUACAAGAUGCCUGAAAUAUGCCAAAUGGAAAUGAAGGACAAUUGCACUUUUGUAACAAAACAUGAUCUCAUAUUAAAGCUGGAACAAUUUUCUAU